rnacentral:rRNA from 1 species
CUACGGAGGGUGCAAGCGUUAAUCGGAAUUACUGGGCGUAAAGCGCGCGUAGGCGGCUUGAUAAGUCGGAUGUGAAAUCCCCGGGCUUAACCUGGGAAUUGCAUUCGAUACUGUCAGGCUAGAGUGUGGUAGAGGGAAGUGGAAUUUCCGGUGUAGCGGUGAAAUGCGUAGAUAUCGGAAAGAACAUCAGUGGCGAAGGCGGCUUCCUGGAUCAACACUGACGCUGAGGUGCGAAAGCGUGGGGAGCAAACAGGAUUAGAAACCCUAGUAGUCC